UUCUUUGUUGUAUCAAAUAGACAUGAGAUAAGUGCAAGGAUAGUAUGUCUGAACCGAAUGUACCAUUGAAUCAUAUCAUCAAAGUACUUUAUAUCAUCCGUUGUGUUCUGCUUGCAUCGAUGGAUGAUCCCUAAAACAUGUUCCAAACAGGAAAUGGUGUAAAGAUGUUUGUUUGCCAAGGCAAAAAGACAUUUCUAUCCUUCAUUCCUGGUAAACAUGACGGAGUUUCUCUUUGGGUCAAUCUUCCCCAUCUGCAUCAUGUUGAGAUCACUAGCAGAGCCAACAGGAGAUAUGGUAGGCUUUUUCUUGAACACACUCGCUAUCUCCUGAUCCAUCAGAGCAACUUCCAUGAUAUAGCAUACAAGCACCCUCUUAAAGUGGUCAAUGAUCGGACCAUAUUCUGCUUCGUUUGUAAGAAGGAUGUUGUGCAAGAUAAUCCAGUCAUGGGGAUUAAUGUUGGGAAG
rnacentral:lncRNA from 1 species